rnacentral:rRNA from 1 species
CUGCGGGUGGCUGCAGUGGGGAAUAUUGGACAAUGGGCGAAAGCCUGAUCCAGCCAUGCCGCGUGUGUGAAGAAGGCCUUCGGGUUGUAAAGCACUUUCAGUGGGGAAGAAAGCCUUGGGGCUAAUACCCUCGAGGAAGGACAUCACCCACAGAAGAAGCACCGGCUAACUCCGUGCCAGCAGCCGCGGUAAUACGGAGGGUGCGAGCGUUAAUCGGAAUUACUGGGCGUAAAGCGCGCGUAGGCGGUCUGAUAAGCCGGUUGUGAAAGCCCCGGGCUCAACCUGGGAACGGCAUCCGGAACUGUCAGGCUAGAGUGCAGGAGAGGAAGGUAGAAUUCCCGGUGUAGCGGUGAAAUGCGUAGAGAUCGGGAGGAAUACCAGUGGCGAAGGCGGUCUUCUGGACUGACACUGACGCUGAGGUGCGAAAGCGUGGGUAGCAAACAGGAUUAGAUACCCCGGUAGUC